GGAGAGAUGGCCGAGUCUGGUUGAAGGCGCACGACUCGAAAUCGUGUAUCCCUUCGGGGAUCGGGGGUUCGAAUCCCUCUCUCUCCG
rfam:Candidate division TA06 bacterium DG_24 WOR1_52_54_218, whole genome shotgun sequence.